AGAGUUUGAUCCUGGCUCAGGACGAACGCUGGCGGCGUGCCUAACACAUGUAAGUCGAGCGAUGAAGCCCUUCGGGGUGGAUUAGCGGCGGACGGGUGAGUAACACGUGGGUAACCUGCCUCAAAGAGGGGGAUAGCCUCCCGAAAGGGAGAUUAAUACCGCAUAACAUUAGCUUUUCGCAUGGAGAGCUAAUUAAAGGAGUAAUCCGCUUUGAGAUGGACCCGCGGCGCAUUAGCUAGUUGGUGAGGUAAAGGCUCACCAAGGCGACGAUGCGUAGCCGACCUGAGAGGGUGAUCGGCCACAUUGGAACUGAGACACGGUCCAGACUCCUACGGGAGGCAGCAGUGGGGAAUAUUGCACAAUGGGCGAAAGCCUGAUGCAGCAACGCCGCGUGAGUGAUGAAGGCCUUCGGGUUGUAAAGCUCUGUCUUUGGGGACGAUAAUGACGGUACCCAAGGAGGAAGCCACGGCUAACUACGUGCCAGCAGCCGCGGUAAUACGUAGGUGGCGAGCGUUGUCCGGAUUUACUGGGCGUAAAGGAUGCGUAGGUGGAUGUUUAAGUCAGAUGUGAAAUACCCGAGCUUAACUUGGGUGCUGCAUUUGAAACUGGAUAUCUAGAGUGCAGGAGAGGUAAGUGGAAUUCCUAGUGUAGCGGUGAAAUGCGUAGAGAUUAGGAAGAACACCAGUGGCGAAGGCGACUUACUGGACUGUAACUGACACUGAGGCAUGAAAGCGUGGGUAGCAAACAGGAUUAGAUACCCUGGUAGUCCACGCCGUAAACGAUGAGUACUAGGUGUAGGGGGGUCCAACCUUCUGUGCCGCAGUUAACACAAUAAGUACUCCGCCUGGGAAGUACGAUCGCAAGAUUAAAACUCAAAGGAAUUGACGG
rnacentral:rRNA from 1 species